AACGAACGCUGGCGGCAGGCCUAACACAUGCAAGUCGAGCGAGAUCUUCGGGUCUAGCGGCGGACGGGUGAGUAACGCGUGGGAAUAUGCCUCUUGGUACGGAAUAGCUUCGGGAAACUGGGAGUAAUACCGUAUGUGCCCUUUGGGGGAAAGAUUUAUCGCCAAGGGAUUUGCCCGCGUUGGAUUCGGUCGUUGGGAGGGUAAUGGCCUACCACGCCGACGAUCCAUAGCUGGUUUGAGAGGAUGAUCAGCCACACUGGGAGUGAGACACGGCCCAGACUCCUACGGGAGGGAGGAAAGGGGGAUCUUGGAAAACGGGGGGAACCCUGAACGUCCCCUGCCGGGUGAAUUAUGAAAGUCGUAGGGUUGUAAAGCUCUUGCAGCUGGGAAGAUAAUGACGGUACCAGCAGAAGAAGCCCCGGCUAACUCCGUG
rnacentral:rRNA from 1 species